rnacentral:lncRNA from 1 species
UAUGGAGGCAACUGCUUUCCAGUCUCUUGACAAUAUCUGAAUGUGGUGUUGUUGUUAGUUUGUUAGUCCAUCAUUUUCUAAGAGGACCAAGGGCAUUGUGGAAUGAUGUCUUGACAGGUGUGAAUUGGAUUGAAGUGAGGCAGAGUUGCUCUACAUCUUCUCUCUUCUAGUAGUCCAAGUCCAGUGGCAGGACAAAAAUCAGGGCCAACUGGUGAUGGAUUAUAGAGCGUGCUUGUGAAUAAUAACCGGCAGCACUUUGGUUUGAUGAUUGGGAAAUAUUCAUCACACUUCCAUCAGAGCCUGGUAGGCUGCUUCAAAGACUAAACGGCAUGGGAAAGAGCCAGCAGAAAUGGACAGAACGAAGAUACAAAAGAGAGCAAGGAGGAUUCAUGGAGAGACUUCCAGAAGCAUAUUCAAGGAAAAGGAAACAAGAGUACAGAAUCAGGCUUCCCAAGCAUCUAUAUGAGUUGACACCAGGCAGGGCCACCUGGGUAUCUUCACAGUCCUGAGAAGAAAGAGGAGGAGAAAGGAAGAAGAGCCAAGGGAAAAGACUGAGAAGUAACAAAGAAGUAGGAGGGAAAUGACACUUAAGGAUAACAGAAGAAAAGGAAUGAUUAAGUUUCAAGAAGAAGGGCAUGGUCCAUAGUGUUAAAUUGUGCAGAGAUGCUGAGGAGAAUGAGAACUGAAAAAAGACUACUGGAUGUCGCAGUUAAGAAGUCCCCGGAAACCUUGGUAAAAAAAUCGUUUCAGGAGAGUGAUGGUAAUGAAAGCCAAGGUCAGAAGGAAGAGUAAUAGUGAGGAAAUGAAGACAGCAACAGCACUCCUUAGAGAAGUUUUAUUGUGAAAGAACAUGAAAAUGGCACUGUGGUGUAGCAAACAGAAUACUGGGCUUAGAGUAAAAAAAUACCUGGGUUCAUAUUGUGCCUCUAAUACUGGCUGCAUUAGUACAGUCAAGUCACUUUAAACUCUCUGAGCCUCAGUUUUCUCAUCUAUAAAAUAUACAUCAUAAAUUUGGAAGCACUUACUUGGCAGAGUUGUUGUGAGACUCUAAUUAGAUAAUCAUAAUAAUGUGCUUUAAAACCUUUAAAAGCAUAAAUAUCACCUAAUAUUUUUCCAGUGUCUUAUGUUAGUUUUCAGUUGUUUCAUUCAUGACCAACUCUGACUCAUUUGAGGUUUCAUAGGCAAAGGUACUGGAGUGGUUUGCCACUUUCUUUUUUAGCUCAUUUUAUAUACAGGGAAACCUAGGCAAACAGAGUUAGUUGACUUGCCCAGGGUCACACAGCCAAUAUAUGUCUGAGUUCAUAUUUGAACUCAGGAAGAUGAAUCUUCCUGACUCUAGACCUGAAUUCUAUCUAUUGCACCACCUAGCUGUCCCAAUGCCUUAUACAGAGUAGGUUUUUGAUAAAUGUUUGUUGAAUUUUUCAUUUGAAUUGGAUCUCCUAUUGUGUGCCUUUCCAUGAACUCUCUCUUCUGUGUUAAGGGUUGUAAAGAUGAAAUAAGGCAAAAAUCCUGGAGCCCAUAC